rnacentral:rRNA from 1 species
UACGAAGGGGGCUAGCGUUGCUCGGAAUCACUGGGCGUAAAGGGUGCGUAGGCGGGUCUUUAAGUCAGGGGUGAAAUCCUGGAGCUCAACUCCAGAACUGCCUUUGAUACUGAGGAUCUUGAGUUCGGGAGAGGUGAGUGGAACUGCGAGUGUAGAGGUGAAAUACGUAGAUAUUCGCAAGAACACCAGUGGCGAAGGCGGCUCACUGGCCCGAUACUGACGCUGAGGCACGAAAGCGUGGGGAGCAAACAGG